rnacentral:rRNA from 1 species
GACGAACGCUGGCGGCGUGCUUAACACAUGCAAGUCGAACGGUGAAGCGCUUGCCUUUUUGGUGGGUGUGGAUGAGUGGCGAACGGGUGAGUAACACGUGAGUAACCUGCCCUCUUCUUCUGGAUAACCUCAUGAAAGUGGGGCUAAUACGGGGUAUUCCGGGUCUGUCGCAUGGCGGGUUUGGGAAAGAUUGCGCCUUUGGGUGUUUUCGGUGGGGGACGGGCUCGCGGCCUAUCAGCUUGUUGGUGGGGUGAUGGCCUACCAAGGCGGUGACGGGUAGCCGGCCUGAGAGGGUGGACGGCCACACUGGGACUGAGACACGGCCCAGACUCCUGCGGGAGGCAGCAGUGGGGAAUAUUGCACAAUGGGCGCAAGCCUGAUGCAGCGACGCCGCGUGAGGGAUGGAGGCCUUCGGGUUGUGAACCUCUUUCGCCAGUGAAGCAGGCCUGCUCCUGUGUGGGUGGGUUGACGGUAGCUGGAGAAGAAGCGCCGGCUAACUACGUG